AAUGAACGCUGGCGGCGCGCCUUACGCAUGCAAGUCGAGCGGAAAGAGAGGGCUUUGCCUUUGAUCUAGCGUGGGGGGGUGGAGUGGUACAUAUGGGUCAUCCUGGCAGUAGGUGGUGACAUCUGGUAGCGGGCGCAGGUACCACAGACGUCCUGAGGGAUAAAGUGGGGGGUCUUGAGGCAUCGCGGUAUCGGCUGAGCCUGCGUCGGAUUAGCUAGCUGGUGGGGUAAAGGCCUACCAAGGCGACGAUCCGUAACUGGUCUGAGAGGAUGAUCAGUCACACUGGAACUGAGACACGGUCCAGACUCCUACGGGAGGCAGCAGCGGGGAAUAUUGCACAAUGGGCGAAAGCCUGAUCCAGCCAUGCCGCGUGUGUGAAGAAGGUCUUCGGAUUGUAAAGCACUUUAAGUUGGGAGGAAGGGCAGUAAGUUAAUACCUUGCUGUUUUGACGUUACCCAAAGAAUAAGCCCCGGCUAACUUCGUG
rnacentral:rRNA from 1 species